rnacentral:tRNA from 3 species
GGGCCAUUAGCUCAGCGGUUAGAGCGCCCGCCUUUUAAGCGGGGCGUCGAUGGUUCGAAUCCAUCAUGGCCCACCA